GACGAACCGAGCGAACGUUGUUCGGAAUCACUGGGCUUAAAGGGCGCGUAGGCGGGCUGUCAAGUCUGGGGUGAAAUCCCGCGGCUCAACCGUGGAACUGCCUCAGAUACUGACGGCCUCGAGGGAGGUAGGGGCGAGCGGAACUAAUGGUGGAGCGGUGAAAUGCGUUGAUAUCAUUAGGAACUCCGGUGGCGAAGGCGGCUCGCUGGACCUUUUCUGACGCUGAGGCGCGAAAGCUAGGGGAGCAAACGGGAUUAGAAACCCCCGUAGUCC
rnacentral:rRNA from 1 species